UGGUGCUGCAGCUGCUCGCAGUGAGGCUGCUGGAGUUUGAAUAUACAUAAACAUGAGUCUCAAUGAGCCCUUGUAGUAGAUGUUGGCGAUAAUUGAUCCACUAUAAGAGUAGGGUGUGCACUUAGAUAGAAUCUAUCGAUCUUAGUAGAAGGGAGUAGUUCUAUGGGAUUUAAGAAGUUGAGUCUUUAAGUUUAUGGCCAUAGUAGUGUGAUUGAUGAAAAAUAAUUUUCAUGAGAAUCACAUAUGGAUUCGAGCUGAUUGAAUCUAUCGUAUAAUCGAUGAUGAGGU
rnacentral:lncRNA from 1 species